GAUGAACGCUGGCGGCGUGCCUAAUACAUGCAAGUCGAACGGAAAGACCAGGCUCUUGCUGGGCGCUCGUGUGCCGAAGGCGUGUGUGUAACACGUGUAUAACCUACCUAUAUUUGUGGGAUAACCUCGGGAAACCGGAGCUAAUACCGGAUAAUAUAUUGAUGCGCGUGGUUCAAUGGUAAAAUACGGUUGUGCUGGCACUUAUAGCUGGAUCUGCGCCGCAUUAGGUAGUUGGUACGGUCACGGGCUACUAAGGCGACGAUGCGUGGCCGACCUGAGAGGGUGAUCGGCCACACGGGAGCUGGGACACGGUCCAGACUCCUACGGUAGGCAGCAGUAGGGAAUCGUCCGCAAUGGUCGAAAGCCUUACGCAGCAGCGGCGAGUGAGAUAUGAAGGCCUCCCGAUCGGGAUACUCGGUUAUUAGGUAAGAACAAAUGUGUAAGUAACCGUGCACGGCUUGACGGUAACGAGUCAGAAAGCCACGGCUAACUACGUG
rnacentral:rRNA from 1 species